rnacentral:rRNA from 1 species
GACGAACGCUGGCGGCGUGCUUAACACAUGCCAGUCGAACGGAAAGGCCCUGCUUGCAGGGUACUCGAGUGGCGAACGGGUGAGUAACACGUGGGUGAUCUGCCCUGCACUUCGGGAUAAGCCUGGGAAACUGGGUCUAAUACCGGAUAGGAGCCAUUUUUAGUGUGAUGGUUGGAAAGUUUUUUCGGUGUAGGAUGAGCUCGCGGCCUAUCAGCUUGUUGGUGGGGUAAUGGCCUACCAAGGCGGCGACGGGUAGCCGGCCUGAGAGGGUGGACGGCCACAUUGGGACUGGGAUACGGCCCAGACUCCUACGGGAGGCAGCAGUGGGGAAUAUUGCACAAUGGGCGCAAGCCUGAUGCAGCGACGCCGCGUGGGGGAUGACGGCCUUCGGGUUGGAAACUCCUUUCGCUAGGGACGAAGCUUUUUGUGACGGUACCUAGAUAAGAAGCACCGGCUAACUACGUG